CCCAGAGUGAAAGACAGAGGAACCAAUCGAGGCUCGGCUGACCUCAGACGUCUAAGGCGAUAGGCGUUGCUAAGAAAAGGGGGUGGGACGAUACCCAGUUGCCAAGACGACGGCUUCCGGGUGGGCGGCUUGAGGUGGCUUCCGGCCGCCAGGCGAGACUCCGCGGGAAAACUCCCUGCUAGAGAGACUAGGAGAUUUGGGGCUGCGGCCGUUUCCUCCGGAGCACCCACGGGACUGUGUGCUGGGGUCCCUCCACCGGCUGUGUCCUUUAUUCUUCUUUCUCACCCAACGAUUUACCUGAACGGUUAUAAAGUGCACGUUAUUUCCCUAAGCACUUUGAGUAUAUUGGCCCACUGCAUUCUGGACUUCAAAAUUUCUGAUGCGAAAUAUGCUGAUACUUUUGUUGAAGAAAUCUGGUCCUUCUUACUGAUGUGUUGCUCUUCUUCAUGGCUCGUGAAAACUAUUAGAGUCAUCCAAGGUUUGGAGACAGAAAGGAGCACCGCCAAGUGAGGCAGAGCAGUCUCAGAAACAUAGGAAAAUGGUGGGAAGAGAGAUCAGCAACGUUAACUGGGUGUCAAGAAAACAUACCGAGAUUGAAGCCAUCCACUUCUGCAGGAACACCGAAAAGAAAGCUUACAAUCUGAAGGUGUCCGUUCCUACACUGGUCAGACCACUGUCCUUGGGGCAGCUGGGGUCUUUGGGACCCUCCACCGGGCUCGCCGGUCCGUCGGACUUUUGGCUGAGAUCCGUGUCAGACUCCUCCGAAUAGUCGUCUGUUGGCAUCGAGGGCUGAACCCCUGAGGUGCUGCAUGAACUUGAG
rnacentral:lncRNA from 10 species